rnacentral:rRNA from 1 species
GGAUUAGAUACCCUGGUAGUCCACGCCGUAAACGAUGUCUACUAGUUGUUGGGAGACUUGAUCUCUUAGUAACGAAGCUAACGCGAUAAGUAGACCGCCUGGGGAGUACGGCCGCAAGGUUAAAACUCAAAUGAAUUGACGGGGGCCCGCACAAGCGGUGGAGCAUGUGGUUUAAUUCGACAUACGCGAAGAACCUUACCUACACUUGACAUCCAGAGAACUUGCUAGAGAUAGCUUGGUGCCUUCGGGAGCUCUGAGACAGGUGCUGCAUGGCUGUCGUCAGCUCGUGUUG